rnacentral:pre_miRNA from 1 species
UACAUACUCCCUCCAUUCCAAAUUACUUGUCGCAGAUAUGGAUGUAUCUAGAUGUAUUUUAGUUCUAGAUACAUCCAUUUCUGCGACGAGUAAUUUGGAACGGAGGGAGUACGUG